UCAGGGUAGGGUGUGUAACUGGGCAGCGUCUGAGCACGUGACUCUUAGGCGCUUUUCUAUUGGUGAACAGUGGCCCAGCCUCUAUUCUAACCCCCCACCCCGUGCCUGCCAGGCCCAGGCCCCGCCCCCCUCGGCGCCUGAACUGCGCAGGCGCAGUAACUGGUCUCGCUAGCUGCUGGCGGCGUGUCCGUGAGGUGACUGCGGCUGGGUGCGCGGGUUCCUGGCUUCCAGGUGGCGGUUUCCUCCUGAACCGGAGCCUGAAAGGACAGCGUAUGACAAAAGGGCUCGCCUCUCUGCUAUGGCCUGGGAAAGCAGCAGAAGAUGCCCAAGUGCUUGAGCCCCUGCACCGACAUGGGAGGCCAGGAAGAAGCUCCUGGCUCCUGGCUUUGGAUCAGCCCAGCUCUGGCCAUUGUGUCCAUUUGCAGAGUGAACCAGCAGAUGGAAGACCUUUCUCUCUGUCUCUCCCUCUCUCUGUAACUCUACCUCUCAGAUAAGUAAAUAAAUCUUUUUUUAAAAAAGUCUUUCUACACAAAAA